CCCGGCGCGGUGCGGGGUGACCGGGCUGCGCGGGACCCGGCGGCGCCGCCCAUGGGGGAGAGCGGGGUGGCCCCGCAGGUCCAGCUCUUCCUCCGCGCCUGCGAGCAGGGCGACUGCGACACCGCACGGCGCCUUUUGGGGCUGCCCGGGGGCGACCCGGCGGCUCCGUCCUCCUGCGGUCCCGAAGAGGCGGCGGAGCCCCGCGGUGGCGAAGGCUCCGCGCCGGCGGCGGCCGCCGUGGCCGUGGAUUGCACGGACGAGGCCGGCAACACGGGGCUGCAGUUCGCGGCGGCUGCGGGGCACGAGCAGCUGGUGCGGUUCCUGCUGCGCAAAGGGGCCUCGGUGCAGAGCAGCAACCACUACGGGUGGAGCCCGCUCAUGCAGGCGGCCAGGUUUGGACAUCUAAGUGUGGCUCACAUCUUGCUGGAGAAUGGUGCUGAUCUCAAUGCACAGAAUAAGUUAGGAGCCAGUGUCCUUACAAUGGCCUCCAGAGGUGGCCAUGUCAGCAUGGUGAAAUUGUUGCUGGAAUCUGGAGCUUUUGUAGACAAUUAUGACCAUUUUAGCACAAGUGUACUUAACAGCAGCAGAGAUGACCUUCCUGAUAUCACUCCACUAAUGGCAGCUGCUCAGCAUGGACAUGAGGCAGUGGUACAUCUGUUAUUAGACUGGGGAGCCGAUUGUAAUUACGCUGUGAAGACUAUGGGGUGGAGUCCUUUAAUGCUGGCAGCUGUUAGUGGAAAGGUGAGCUUGGCACAGCAGCUCAUGGAGAAAGGUGCCAAUCCUGAUCACCUGAAUGUACUACAUAAAACACCCUUUGAAAUCUCCGUUGGCUUCAAGCACAAAGACAUGAAGGACUACCUGGAGUCUCUCACAACAAUCAGACCUCAGGCAGAUACAGAAAAGAGCCAACCUGAUGUCUUUCACGCUUUGAAAUUGGGAAACUUUCAGCUAGUUAAAGAGAUUGUUGAUGGGGAUCCAAGUCAGGUUAAUAUUACCAAUGUUGACGGCGCAUCUCCAUUAAUGAUUGCGGCUGUAACUGGGCAGCUGCCCCUUGUUCAGCUCCUUGUUGAGAAAAAUGCUGAUAUUGACAAACAAGAUAAUAUUCAUGGCUGGACAGCACUAAUGCAGGCCACAUACCAUGGAAACAAAGAUGUUGUUAAGUAUUUGUUAAAUCAAGGAGCUGAUGUCAAUCUUCGUGCAAAAAACGGAUACACAGCUUUUGACCUGAUAAUGCUGCUGAAUGAUCCAGACACAGAGCUUGUACGGUUACUGGCAUCAGCAUGCAUGCAAGUAGACAAAGACAAGAAUAAACUGAACAACAGAUCAUCUUUGCCUUGUUCCAAAAGUAGGCAAUCUUUAAAUGUCCCAAUGUUGCCAGAUCAAAAAGGUGGUCUAAAGUCCUGGUGGAGCAGGAUGUCCAAUCGAUUCCGCAAGCUGAAGUUGACUCAGACAUUGCGCCAUGGAUUUCCUUCCAAUCAGUUUGUACCUUUUCCUGAUGAACCUGAACCAUCAUUAAAUUCCACCAUAAAGGCAGUUUCACAGAAUGAUAUGGACACCUCUGGAAACCUUGAUGCUGCUACAGCUUGGAUCACAAAUAACAAAGCUAGUGGUGUAAACACUGCAAAAGGAGGAAAGGACGAUGAGUUAUUGACAACCAUGUUGAGAAGUAGUGCUCCAUUUACCAGGCUGCCCAGUGAUAAACUGAAAGCAGUAAUACCGCCUUUCUUACCACCCUCAAGUUUUGAGCUUUGGAAUUCUGACCGAACACGAAUCAGCAAAGAUGGCAAAGCUGAACAGAUGAGAACUGCGUGGCCACAGAGAGCGAUCAAGCAUGAUUUUAACAGCAGUGGGAACUCUGAUAUAACAUCUGUUAGCAAAGGUACUAGACCAGUCAAAUUACCCGCAUUUGCAAGAAGACCUGCAUCUCCUUCAAAUUCCAACAACUUCAAUCAUUCUCCCCAUUCUUCUGGUGGAUCCAAUAACAUUGCGGGAAUCAACAGGCAUGGAGGAGAACUGCAUAACAGAUCAGGUGGCAGUGCAGAUAAUGUUUUGUCUCAGAUUGCGGCCCAAAGAAGAAAAGCAGCAGGCUUACCUGAACAGAAACCCGGCCAACAGCAUAGCCCAGUCCAAUCAACUCCUUCAUCCACCCUGUCUGAUUUGCCCUCUGCUCAAAUUGUUGGAAAUGGACACGUUGGAAAGCAAAAACUGGAGAUGAACAAAAGACCUCCAUCUGGGACUUCAUCUACGUCUAAAAGCACGUCACCAACUCUCACACCUUCCCCAUCACCUUCCCCAUCUCCUAAGGUUCACAACACAGAGUCCUCUCUCUCUUCUUCUCAAAGGCAGGCCAAGAGCAAUGGCUCCAGCAGUGGUACUAUUACAGAAGAUGGCAACCACUUGGUGGACCAUCAACAGCUUGUCCCUAUUCUGAGAACCAGUGAUGUAGACAAUCAAGAAAGACGAAACCAUGUGAGAGUAAAAGGAAGCUCUGAAAACUUGGAGAAAGAUGAGCUGACUGGCAUCCUUAAAAAAUUGUCCCUUGAGAAAUACCAGCCUAUCUUUGAAGAACAAGAGGUGGAUAUGGAAGCUUUCCUUACACUUACUGAUGGUGAUCUGAAAGAGCUGGGUAUUAAAACUGAUGGAUCAAGGCAGCAAAUUUUGGCAGCUAUUUCUGAACUGAAUGCAGGAAAGGGACGAGAGAGACAGAUUUUACAGGAAACUAUACACAACUUCCACUCUUCCUUUGAGAGCAGUGUUAGCAACACACGAGCUCCGGGUCAUUCCCAGUCUCCAUGAAAUAGAUUUGGUGUGAAUCAACAACAGAAACACUAACAGGGAAGGAAGAGGAAGAGAACAUGUAGAUAAAGGAAGUUUCCACACAAGCACCUGUUGGCUCUGUAAAACCACAAGAAGCUGCUUCUCCGAAGAGGUAGCUUCCGGGGAAAAAAAAAAAAGAGAUUCUUUUUUCUUAUUGUGAAGUUUAGCAUCUGGCUGAGAAAAUCCAAGUGUACAAAUGAAAAUUUGAAAAGUUAGUCCUAACUACACCUUUACAGGACUUUCUACAGUGAUGUGCGCAAUUAGAAUCUCACAAAGAAGAAAGAAGAAGAGAUCACUUUUUUUUUUUUUCAAAGAAGAAAAUAAAGAGAUCACUUGUACAGCUCAACGUAAGUGUUGAAUUGUUCGUGGUGUCAGUGGUCUGGAUUUCAGAACAAAGUCAGAAGAGCAGGAAGAAUAAAGGAUCAUAUAAGGAGAUUCAUGUUUCCAUUUCAUGCUCUUGCCUAUAUAUGAAGAACCCCAUAGGAGGCCUCUUGGGUACAGUCAAGAACAACAAAGCAUGGAAGAAGGCAUAACCACCAUGAAUUAUGAGAGCUUCUACAUGGGGAAAUAUAUAAACAGUAUGUUCCUCUCUUGGCUGGGUGCAGAUAAAGGAGUUGAGAUUGAAAAUGUAAUGGUCUCAUGAGCAGGAAUACAAAGGAAAAUGAUGCUGCAUUCUUCAGUAACCAAAAUACACUUUUAUCUGUUCAAUAUCAAGAGGCUAGAACAGCAAUAAAGGUAAAUAUGAAAUACUCAUAUGUAAAAGCACUUUAUUUAAGGAAAUGCAUAGUCUGUCACCAAUAUUUAUACAGAAAUAGUGUUAAAAUAUUUUAUAUUGCUGAUUGAUUGUUUUGAGAAUAAAACCAUUUAACUGA